AUGACGAAUCAUGCGAAGUAUUUAGGUUUACCAGUGGUGUUCGGAAGAUCGAAAAAGGAGAUUUUCACCUUGGUUGUGGAGAGAGUUUGGAAGAAACUGAAGGGUUGGAAAGAAAAGUUCUUGUCCAGGGCAGGUAAAGAGGUGCUCAUAAAAGCGGUAGCUCAGGCUAUUCCAAGUUAUAUUAUGAGUUGCUAUAAAAUCCUGGAGUCUUGCUGUAACGAGAUUGAAGCGAUGUUAGCAAAAUUCUGGAGAACAUCCUCAUCAGCAUCAGAAAAUUGGAUAUCAACAUCAACAUCAGAAGAUGUUAUAUCAGAUACCAGAAUCAGAAGAUCAACUUGCGCUUAUGCUGAAGCUUGA